UACAGAGGUCCCAAGCGUUGUUCGGAUUCACUGGGCGUAAAGGGUGCGUAGGUGGCAGUGUAAGUCUGAUGUGAAAGCUUCGAGCUUAACUCGAAAAUGGCAUUGGAUACUAUAUUGCUGGAGGUUUGGAGGGGGACUGGAAUUCUCGGUGUAGGCAGUGAAAUGCGUAGAUAUCGAGAGGAACACCGGUGGCGAAGGCGAGUCCCUGGACAACACCUGACACUGGAGGCACGAAAGCGUGGGGAGCAAACAGGAAUUAGAUACCCGUUGUAAGU
rnacentral:rRNA from 1 species